rnacentral:tRNA from 1 species
GGGCUUGUAGCUCAAUUGGUUAGAGCAGCGGACUCAUAAUCCGUUGGUUGGGGGUUCAAGUCCCUCCGAGCCCA